AUUGAACGCUGGCGGCAUGCUUUACACAUGCAAGUCGAACGGUAACAGGCCUUCGGGUGCUGACGAGUGGCGAACGGGUGAGUAAUGCAUCGGAACGUACCCAGAGGUGGGGGAUAACGCAGCGAAAGCUGUGCUAAUACCGCAUGUAAUCUGAGGAUGAAAGCGGGGGACCGAGCAGCAAUGUUUGGCCUCGCGCCUUUGGAGCGGCCGAUGUCGGAUUAGCUAGUUGGUGGGGUAAAGGCCUACCAAGGCGACGAUCCGUAGCUGGUCUGAGAGGACGACCAGCCACACUGGGACUGAGACACGGCCCAGACUCCUACGGGAGGCAGCAGUGGGGAAUUUUGGACAAUGGGCGCAAGCCUGAUCCAGCAAUGCCGCGUGCGGGAAGAAGGCCUUCGGGUUGUAAACCGCUUUUGGCAGGAACGAAACGGUGUCCGCUAAUACCGGGCGCUAAUGACGGUACCUGCAGAAUAAGCACCGGCUAACUACGUG
rnacentral:rRNA from 1 species